CUCUAUUAGAAAUUAUUAAUAGUAAAAUCUGCUCAAUGAACUUAAAUAGCCGCAAAAUCGUGCUAAGGUAGCAUAAUCAUUCGUCUUUUAAUUAAAGACUAGAACAAAAGAUUUAACAUUUCAAUUUAUAUCUUAAUUCCAAAUAUUUAAAAUUAUCCUAAAAGUAAAAAGACUUUUAUAAGAAAAAAAGACGAUAAGACCCUAUUGAACUUAACUUUAGUUUAAUUGGGGUAAUUAAUUAAUUAUUAUUUUAAUAUAAUUAUUUCAUAAACAGAUCUUGUUUAAUAAAAUAUGAUCAAGUUACCAUAGGGAUAACAGCAUAAUUGUUUUUUAAAGAUCUUAUUUAAAAAACAGAUUAUGACCUCGAUGUUGAAUAAUAACUUUAUAUACGCAAUAGUUUAUUAAAGAAGUCUGUUCGACUUUUAAAUAAUUACA
rnacentral:rRNA from 1 species